rnacentral:rRNA from 1 species
UACAGGGGGGGCAAGCGUUGUUCGGAAUUACUGGGCGUAAAGGGCUCGUAGGCGGCCAACUAAGUCACACGUGAAAUCCCCAGGCUUAACCUGGGAACUGCGUGUGAUACUGGAUGGCUUGAAUCCGGGAGAGGGAUGCGGAAUUCCUGGUGUAGCGGUGAAAUGCGCAGAUAUCAGGAGGAACACCGAUGGCGAAGGCAGGUCUCUGGGCCGGAUACUGACGCUGAGGAGCGAAAGCGUGGGGAGCGAACAGG